UCCAUCUAUCACACGUGUAGACAAAGGGGGGACUCCACAACACAGAGCUUGAUGUGCCCCUCUCAAACUUUUUCCACGGACGCACGGGAACGCGCGCACAGCAAACCAGCCCAGGUGGAAUUUCAACAGAUUAUCAAGCAAGGUGUCUCCUGUGGAAGGUCAAGAAAAUGGCAAAAGCAAUAUGCUGAAACAACACGAAGAUGGUACAGGAUCACUUAUCAGACGACGCUUUAAGACGGAGAGGAGGAUUAAGAGACUGUGCAGGUUCUUUUUGGGGAGAAGGUAAAGACUUAUCUCAGGUUGGAUUUAAACUUUUGCAACAGCGGUGCCAGUUGGAUUGCAUUUUAGGGCACACGUGAAAUCCAAAACUCAUGGAGACACUUUAAGGAUUAUCCGAAUUCAUGGUAAAUCUCUCCGCAAGACACAUCUUGAGCCAGAGUCUCUGGGAUAGCAGGAUAUUGUGCUUCUGAUCCUCCUCGGCCCUCGGCACGGGGAGCGUGGGAGUACCGAGGUCUGGGAGAUCACGACCCUAAUUCUUUCCAAGACAGACGGUUUAAUUAACACUGUAGGAAUCCUCUCCAACUCCAGACCUCUGCAAAAGGAAUUUACUCAGGAAUUACACCACACAGGUCUUGGACAUUUAGUGGACCAGAAAGCUGACAGAUGAUGCCCAUGAAUGAUGGAUGAUGUCUUCUUGGUGCCAGUUGAAUGCAUUAUAAAGCAAUGAUACGGCCCCUGUCAUUGUGGCCCACGUUGGCAGAAGACCACCUCACAGGGAUUUUCCUCUUCACCAGCAUGUUCCGGAGGAGUGAAGAUCUAAAAAACAAGCCUGCAUAAAAAGGGAGAGAGAAGAUGCCGAUAGAGAGGAAAAUGUCUUGAUAGGGAAAGAAAAACAGAAGAAAAGAUGAAAGGAAAUUUGUUUUUGUGCAUGUUUGUAUGUUUGAAGAUUUAGCAUCAUCCUGUGGUGUAAAUUGUACAGCUGAGCAGAAGUGGUUAAAUGGGUCUCAAAUGGUUUUGCAUGUUUUGUAUAGUAAAGCACGGCUUUGCAUUUGCAAGCUUGUAAAAUUAAGACAAAGAUAUGGUUUUUAUUUUCUUUUUGUGUAUAAUCUAACCCAUGAAACUCAAUGUAAAGGCUCUGUCCCUGUUUAUACAAGACAAGCCGUUUACUUAAGAUUCCAUAAAUUCAAGAAGCUAAGGUCAGAGCAUAACAUCAUAAGCUUGGAUUGCAUCUAUUAUAAUGGAGGUUGUCUAACGUCGGUCGCUGGGGAGCAAAAACAGCAUUAAGGACAUGCACUCAUGCAAUAUGCAUUGCUCAGAGGAGAAAUAUGCCUAAACUCAGGCUCUUGUAACAAUAAAAAUGUGAAGAGUUUAACUUU